UGUAAACAUCCUACACUCAGCUGUAUCACAUGAAAUGGCUGGGAGAUGAAUGUUUACUUC
rnacentral:pre_miRNA from 1 species